rnacentral:lncRNA from 1 species
AAAGUAGUGCUAGUGUGGAAUGUAAAUAAAAGUAGUGCGAGCGCGGAAAGUAAAUAAAAGUAGUGCGAGUGCGAGAAAUAAAUAAAGUAGUGCGAGUGCGAGAAAUAAAUAAAGUAAAACGAGUGCGGGAAAUAAAUAAAGUAAAACGAGUGCGGGAAAUAAAUAAAAUAAAGCGAGUGCGGGAAAUAAAUAAAGUAAAGCGAGUGCGAGAAAUAAAUAAAGUAAAGCGAGUGCGGGAAAUAAAUAAAGUAAAGCGGGUGCGGGAAAUAAAUAAAGUAAAGACAGUUCGGGAAAAUAAAAUAGAUAAAGGCAAGCAAUAAAAACCUACUCCAAUCGGAGGGUUGAAUAAAAUGCAAAGCGGAAAUGAAAAUGGCGGCAAGAUUAACUUCCUUCCAAAGUGCUCCAAAUUCGAUUACAGACUCGAUCACAAACUUGAUUUCACAAUUGUGGUAACACCUCGAUGUGAA